rnacentral:rRNA from 1 species
GGACCUGACUGCUAUCGGAUUGAUACUAAGCCAUGCGAGUCAUUGUAGCAAUACAAGGCAUACGGCUCAGUAACGCGUAGUCAACCUAACCUAUGGACGGGAAUAACCUCGGGAAACUGAGAAUAAUGCCCGAUAGAACAUUAUGCCUGGAAUGGUUUAUGUUCCAAAUGAUUUAUCGCCGUAGGAUGGGACUGCGGCCUAUCAGUUUGUUGGUGAGGUAAUGGCCCACCAAGACUAUUACAGGUACGGGCUCUGAGAGGAGUAGCCCGGAGAUGGGUACUAAGACACGGACCCAGGCCCUAUGGGGCGCAGCAGGCGAGAAAACUUUGCAAUGUGCGAAAGCACGACGAAGGUUAAUCCGAGUGGUUUCUGCUAAAGAAACCUUUUGUCGAGUCCUAGAAACACUGAUGAAUAAGGGGUGGGCGAAGUUCUGGUGU